rnacentral:rRNA from 1 species
GACGAACGCUGGCGGCGUGCUUAACACAUGCAAGUCGAACGGAAAGGCCUCUUUCGGGGGGUACUCGAGUGGCGAACGGGUGAGUAACACGUGAGUAACCUGCCCUUGACUUUGGGAUAACUUCAUGAAACUGGGGCUAAUACCGGAUAGGAGCUCCUGCUGCAUGGUGGGGGUUGGAAAGUUUCGGCGGUUGGGGAUGGACUCGCGGCUUAUCAGCUUGUUGGUGGGGUAGUGGCUUACCAAGGCUUUGACGGGUAGCCGGCCUGAGAGGGUGACCGGCCACAGUGGGACUGAGAGACGGCCCAGACUCCGACGGGAGGCAGCAGUGGGGAAUAUUGCACAAUGGGUGGAAGCCUGAUGCAGCAACGCCGUGUGCGGGAUGACGGCAUUAGGGUUGUAAACCGCUUUCGCUCAUGACGAAGCUUUGUGUGACGGUAGUGGGUAAAGAAGCACCGGCUAACUACGUG